AUGGGAGUUGACCUUGAUGAAUUAGAAAGGUGUUGGGUGUUCGGCGGAGGGACCCAGCUGACCGUCCUAGGUCAGCCCAAGUCUGCACCCUCCGUGUCUCUGUUCCCGCCAUCCGCUGAGGAGCUCAACAACAACAAGGCCACACUGGUGUGUCUCAUGAGUGACUUCUACCCGGGCAGCGUGACAGUGGCCUGGAAGGCAAAUGGCACCCCCGUCACCCAGGGCGUGGAGACCACCAAGCCCUCCAAGCAGAGCAACAACAAGUACGCGGCCAGCAGCUACCUGAGCGUGUCCAGCCAAGACUGGAAGUCCGCCAGCGCCUACAGCUGCCAGGUCACGCACGAUGGGAAGACCGUGGAGAAGACAGUGGCCCCCUCGGAGUGUUCCUAGGAUCUGAGUCCCCACUUCUGGGGACACUUCUCCCUCAGACCC